AUAGCAUACGAAUAUCGCAUGAUAUUUUUAUUUAAAGAAUUUCGGUCAUCGAUGGGGAGUGCGUUCCAUUAGGUUGUUGGCGGGGUAACGGGCCCACCAAGCCUUCGAUGGAUAGGGGUUCUGAGAGGAAGGUCCCCCACCAUUGGAACUGAGACACGGUCCAAACUCCUACGGGAGGCAGCAUG
rnacentral:rRNA from 1 species